rnacentral:rRNA from 1 species
GACGAACGCUGGCGGCGUGGAUUAGGCAUGCAAGUCGAACGGUAUCAUCCUUUCGGGGGUGAGAGAGUGGCGAACUGGUGAGUAACACGUAGGUUAUCUACCCUCAAGACGGGGACAACCCAGGGAAACUUGGGCUAAUACCGGAUGUGAGCAACUUUUAGUUGUUUGAAAGGUGGCGUAAGCUGUCGCUUGGGGAUGAGCCUGCGUCCUAUUAGUUAGUUGGUGAGGUAACGGCUCACCCAGGCAAUGAUAGGUAGGCGGCCUUAACGGGUGGUCGCCCACACUGGGAUUGAGAUACGGCCCAGACUCCUACGGGAGGCAGCAGUCGAGAAUAGUCUACAAUGGUCGGAAGACUGAUAGUGCGACGCCGCGUGAACGAUGAAUCCCUUCGGGGUGUAAAGUUCUUUUAUAUGUGAGCAGUGCUUCUUAUAUUAACAGUAUGGGGAGAGAGAUAUUAGCAUAUGAAUAAGCAACGGCUAACUCCGUGCCAGCAGCCGACGGUAAAA